rnacentral:rRNA from 1 species
GGCCAGACUCCUACGGGAGGCAGCAGUGAGGAAUAUUGGUCAAUGGGCGGGAGCCUGAACCAGCCAAGUCGCGUGAGGGAUGACGGCCCUAUGGGUUGUAAACCUCUUUUGCCGGGGAGCAAAGUGCCGCACGUGUGCGGUUUGGAGAGUACCCGGAGAAAAAGCAUCGGCUAACUACGUGCCAGCAGCCGCGGUAAUACGUAGGGGGCAAGCGUUAUCCGGAUUUACUGGGUGUAAAGGGAGCGUAGACGGCAGUGCAAGUCUGGAGUGAAAGGCGGGGGCUCAACCCCCGGACUGCUCUGGAAACUGUACGGCUGGAGUGCAGGAGAGGUAAGUGGAAUUCCUAGUGUAGCGGUGAAAUGCGUAGAUAUUAGGAGGAACACCAGUGGCGAAGGCGGCUUACUGGGCUGUAACCGACGUUGAGGCUCGAAAGCGUGGGGAGCAAACAGGAUUAGAUACCCGAGUAGA